CAAGCGACCCUUCCAUCUCAGCUUCCUGAGUAGCUGGGACUACAGCUAGAAGAUCAGGUCAGGUUUGAGGCCUGGAAAUUCUGCUGGCGGAGAAGGAAACACAACACGUCCAUUUCUGCUGAGAACCAAAGCCUGUGGUCUGCAGAGAGCAGGCAGAGAGAUUCAGCAAGACCAGAAAUGGGUUCUCACUAUGUUGGCCAGGCUGCCUGAAUUUUGGUGUUUUUGUACGUGGAAACUGGUGAUGCAAGUACUGAAUGUACCUCAUGCAGCCGGAGGAAGAUACAGAUGGAUUGCCAUCCGUCCCCCAGGGUAACGAUUCCUGAUGAAGUCGCUCUCUUCCCACCACUCCUCCUGAGAGGGUACAGUGGAAGGAAGGGUCUGAAUUUUCCUCCACAGAAUUUCCCAAGACACAGGUAUAUUUGUCAUGAAUGUGAGGAGUGAGAACAAGGGCCUGCCCUGGCCCCCAGUCCGAAUGCCCUCUCUGGCACUGCUUGCUGUGGGUGUUAGGCCCAGUUAAAUUUUUGUUGUUGUUGUUGUUGUUGAUGGAGUCUCACUCUGUCGCCCAGGCUGGAGUGCAGUGGUAUG